GUGCUCAACACGGGAAGCCAAAUUGCUUAGCUUUACUUUGCAUACACUCAUCUCUCAUUUCUUACACUUUACAUAUCCUCCUUCAUUUUGCUUUCAAAGAUUUCACGGCUAAAACUCAUUUAUCUGGUAAAAUAUAUUGGGUCUAAGUGAAAAAAAGAAUAUGAGGCUUACGAGUUCUGGCCAAAAGCCAAUACAGCCCCUUGCGAAUUUCCGAAGGGCCAUAAAUAUGGCGCCUUUCUUCCGUCGAAAAGAUAAGGUUGUGUUCGUU
rnacentral:misc_RNA from 1 species